AGGACAGCUGACCCCAACUGACCCAAGGGAUAUCCCAUACCAUAUGGCAUCGUGCUCAGCAUAUAAACUAGGGGAAAGCUGGCUGGGGAGCUGCUGCCUGGG